UACGAAGGGGGGCUAGCGUUGCUCGGAAUCACUGGGCGUAAAGGGUGCGUAGGUGGGUCUGUAAGUCAGUGGUGAAAUCCCCGAGCUUAACUUGGGAACUGCCGUUGAUACUAUAGAUCUUGAAUAUCGUGGAGGUAAGCGGAAUAUGUCAUGUAGCGGUGAAAUGCUUAGAUAUGACAUAGAACACCGAUAGCGAAGGCAGCUUGCUACACAAUCAUUGACACUGAGGCACGAAAGCGUGGGGAGUCAAACAGGAAUUAGA
rnacentral:rRNA from 1 species